rnacentral:rRNA from 1 species
GACGAACGCUGGCGGCGUGCCUAAUACAUGCAAGUCGAACGCUUUUUCUUUCACCGAGACUUGUCUCACCGAAAGAAAAAGAGUGGCGAACGGGUGAGUAACACGUGGGUAACCUGCCCUCGAGAAGGGGAUAACACUUGGAAACAGGUGCUAAUACCGUAUAACAAUAACUGCCGCAUGGCAGGUAUUUGAAAGGCGCUUUUGCGUCACUCGAGGAUGGACCCGCGGUGCAUUAGCUAGUUGGUGAGGUAACGGCUCACCAAGGCGAUGAUGCAUAGCCGACCUGAGAGGGUGAUCGGCCACACUGGGACUGAGACACGGCCCAGACUCCUACGGGAGGCAGCAGUAGGGAAUCUUCGGCAAUGGACGAAAGUCUGACCGAGCAACGCCGCGUGAGUGAAGAAGGUUUUCGGAUCGUAAAACUCUGUUGUUAGAGAAGAACAAGGAUGAGAGUAGAACGUUCAUCCCUUGACGGUAUCUAACCAGAAAGCCACGGCUAACUACGUGCCAGCAGCCGCGGUAAUACGUAGGUGGCAAGCGUUGUCCGGAUUUAUUGGGCGUAAAGCGAGCGCAGGCGGUUCUUUAAGUCUGAUGUGAAAGCCCCCGGCUCAACCGGGGAGGGUCAUUGGAAACUGGAGAACUUGAGUGCAGAAGAGGAGAGUGGAAUUCCAUGUGUAGCGGUGAAAUGCGUAGAUAUAUGGAGGAACACCAGUGGCGAAGGCGGCUCUCUGGUCUGUAACUGACGCUGAGGCUCGAAAGCGUGGGGAGCAAACAGG